rnacentral:lncRNA from 1 species
AGCAAAAUUCCAUGCAGGGGAAAAAAAAAAAAAAGCACAGACUUUUCUCAGGAAAACAUUUUCUUCAGGUUUCUUCUUUACUUGUGUCUUCAGUAAUUUCUCACGUUCUUCCCGACCAUAGGAGUAGAGUAGUGUCUCAAGGUUCUACUGCUAUAGAGGAGCUUGGAUACUUGAAGAGGAAGUGAUGGUAUAUUACUGACUCAUUCUGCUCAGUGGCACAUUAUCUUGAACCAGACCACAUGCUCUACUAUUUUUAUCCUUGCCUCAUUCUUUCAGCUUAAUUUGCAAUCCAGGAUUUGUAGGAUGCAAGAAAAAAAAAAAUGAUUUGACUUCCGGACAGUGUUGGGAAGACGGAAAAUAGCAAGCCACUUUCUAAAAAGACAGAAGUUGUAAUUGAAAGGGACAUAUAAGACAGAAAAUAAUGGAGGAAAUAGCACCCCCGUGGAGGAAACAGUAAAUGGAUAAUAAUAGUGUGAGCUGAUGAUCCAGGCAGAGGUACAAACGGUUUGUACUUUCUAUAGGAAGACCACGCAGCACUAAAUCUGGAGGAAUUUCUUCUAGAGAAGCUGGAUCUAGGACACUAGAAACAGGAGUUAACAAAUACAUGAUGGGAUGUGGGAACCCAGAAAUAUUCAAGAUGUUUUAAGAGAAGCAUCUGGAAAGUGCUGAUGACGUUGUGGAUGACGUAUAAGAAAAUGACUACAUUAUCCUGGGCUUGUUCUUUAAAUUUAGUAGAUGUCAACUAUUCGAAAUUUGGAAAAGAGCAAUCUGGAAAUAGAUGAUAUAAUGAUCAUAUUACUUAAUUAAAAUAAUGAUACUUGUAUCUAGGAGGCAAAAGGCUAAUACCAGAUCCUUCCUUGAUGAUGCUAAUAUUUGGUUUGGAUUGGCAUGGAGAGGAUAGGGUUAUAGUCAGUGUGAAUCUGUGGAAUAGCUAACCAAACUCUUCAUUUGCUUAAAAAAGUGUAACGGAUAUAUAGUAGCACAUGCAUGCAUAAUAUUUUACCAAAGAUAUAUUUAUUCACUUGUAAUUCUUAGAUAAGAUCCCAGGUUUUUCACAGAUAGAAUAUGUGUUGUAUAUGUUCUUUUUCUACAAAACAAUUAGUCC